AUUGAACGCUGGCGGAAUGCUUUACACAUGCAAGUCGAACGGCAGCACGGACUUCGGUCUGGUGGCGAGUGGCGAACGGGUGAGUAAUAUAUCGGAACGUGCCCAGUCGUGGGGGAUAACGUAGUGAAAAUUACGCUAAUACCGCAUACGAUCUAAGGAUGAAAGCGGGGGAUCGCAAGACCUCGCGCGAUUGGAGCGGCCGAUAUCAGAUUAGGUAGUUGGUGAGGUAAAGGCUCACCAAGCCGACGAUCUGUAGCUGGUCUGAGAGGACGACCAGCCACACUGGAACUGAGACACGGUCCAGACUCCUACGGGAGGCAGCAGUGGGGAAUUUUGGACAAUGGACGCAAGUCUGAUCCAGCCAUUCCGCGUGCAGGACGAAGGCCUUCGGGUUGUAAACUGCUUUGUACAGAACGAAAAGGUCUCUAUUAAUACUAGGGGCUCAUGACGGUACUGUAAGAAUAAGCACCGGCUAACUACGUGCCAGCAGCC
rnacentral:rRNA from 1 species